CCCUACGGGGUGCACCAUUCUAUUUCACCGACAUUCUGUCUGUUAAACAAUUCCAACGAAAAGACCUGGAUUAUAUUUUUGGCGUUGCGCAUGAGAUGUCCGAGAUGGUACGCCGGAUAGGGACCUUUGACUUGCUCAAAGGAAAGAUCCUGGCCAACCUGUUUUACGAACCCUCGACUCGUACCAUGUCCUCUUUUACCGCCGCCAUGGAACGUUUGGGCGGCAGCGUAAUUCCGAUCAAUGAGGUGCGCUAUUCGUCGGUCUCCAAAGGCGAAUCACUGCCGGAUACCGUUCGCACGCUGGAAUGCUAUGCGGAUGUCAUCGUUCUGCGGCAUCCCGAGGUGGGUUCUGUAGCCACCGCCGCAAAAUUUACCAGGAAGCCCAUCAUCAAUGCCGGUGAUGGAAUUGGCGGGAGAGC
rnacentral:rRNA from 1 species